GAGCAGCUGAGAGAGGACAGCGCCUGGAAGUGCUUUUAUAGCAGUAGCGGUGGGUUAUGCCAGCUUAAACUGUAUGUGAAACUCGAGACACGGAUAAUUUGGAGGUGGACACCUGCUCCGUAUUUUUCAAUCUUCUUUCAGGACUGGCUCAGAGUUCAGCUCAGGCUUAGUGCUGAGGUUCCUUUGAAGCACUUCUGAUCCUCUGGCUGCUAUGGCUUGCUCUGCUUCUAGUUUAACAAUUGGACAGAAAACAUGGUGGGGGGCAUGCCUGGGGUGUACUAGGAAGGUUGUGCGCAUAUUGCUGUAGAAGUUAUAGCACUAGUGUACGCUAGGGUUAAUCUAGCUAGUUUGAGCUGCAUUAGCAGUAACAAUAUGUUAGCAUUAAUUUCACGCCAUUUGUACCAUCAGUUUUGUGGCCUGGGAGAGGCGCAGGAGUUGCUCGCCUGAAACCCCUGUCUGCAUCCCUGUUUUUGCUUGCACUGUACAGACUGAAAUUCAUGCAGGUUGCUCAGUUGUAGGGAAUCCAGGGAGAGGCAGGUGCAAUUUCACCUCUGAGGACCACCAACAGAAGAUGACAACAGAGAAUAUUCAACAGCUGGUUUAAAGCAUUGUAUACCAUUUUCUGUAUAAAAUAAUUAGUUUCUAAGCACAUUUACCUUUAUUGGAAAGUAAAGGCAGCCACUGGAAUCAUGAAAACUUCAUCCACCAUUGACAAGGAGUCAGUUUGAACUGAAAAGAAAAUAUUAGCUCCUCUUCAUGAUGUACUAUAGUAUCAGUAGCUUACAUUUUUUUGCUACUUAUUUAAUUCAGAGUACAUUAAUUAGAAACAAAUCUGUUGAAGAUCACAUCUUUUUCUCUUUGGAUUUAGAGAUUAAGACUAGAAAAUGUCCCUAAUAAUAGACUGCCUCAGAAAAGCCCUUUUUCUAGGUAAAUCAGCUAGAUAAAUCAGCUGUAUCAUAUCAGUUCCUUUGCCAGUGUUCCCCAAAAAGGUGCUCAACACCCCCCAGACACUAGCACACUAUUAACAAUGGCUAAUUGUGACAGGAAGGGAAAAACAUAGAUCUGUGAAAACCUCUAACUAGUUCCUGGCAACAGAGCUAACUGAUCAGGAGCAUCACAAAGGAGUUACAUGCCAGACAACUGGAACAGGAGAAACAUUAGGGCAGGAAUUACAAAUGGAAGGCAAUGUUAGAUUUCAAACAGACUCUAGGCAGCAACCCGCCAGUACUGCAGCCCUCAAGGGUCAGUCCUACAGAGAAUGAGGACAUCUAAAGGAAACCUAAGGCAACACUGGCUCUCUGUUAUCUGAGAACAUCCACAAUGCUGCCAACAGUACUCCUGUGCAGAAAUAAUGUACACCUGUGAAAAACCACAAAGAGUCGGCAAAUACAGCCAGCGGAUUCACUUGCUGGCUCGGACAGCAUCUGAAGAAAGAACUAUUUAAAAACACAAGAGGUGGUGCUAUAAUGAGGAAACCAUGGAGAGCAGAAAGCUUAUGACUAUUGACAGAAGUUGAUUAAGAAAUGGAUUAUUGUCUGUUCGGAUGUUGGAGUAUCUACUGUCAGCUCUAUCCGACAUAUCUUUAUGUAAAUUUCCUUUAAUUGAAGUAUUCAUUUACAAUCCUUGUUUUCAUUGGUAAUACGCUUUAUUUGCAUUUGAAAACAGAAAGGGGAGAAAAAAAUUAAACACGACUGGCUGACCCCUGCCAUGUGACAGAGGCUUUGCUUUUUGUCACUCUGACCCAAAUGGAUUAGGGCCAGGAAAUAAAGGUCAGUCUUUUACCAGUACCCCUGUGUGUCACGUUUUUAUUACAUGGAGUUUCCAAGAAAAAUAUCCCAAUUUGCAUCAGUAAUUAUGCAUUCUUUAUCCAUUUUCAUGUAGUUUUCUGAGUAUUUUGCAUUCAGAAAUCACCUUUGAGUGCCAGACCCAUUAAAAACAAACCCUUUGUGAAAUAUCCUUCAGCAGUUAAAUGUAAGUGGUAGAUUUUGUAGCUGGGCAUGCUCUUUUUUUCCCUUUUAAUAACAAGAAGCUUCCAUUUUACAGGAGUCUCCCCACCACUUCAGUCAUAAACGGCCAAGGCUGUGGUUGGAUUACUUUCCUUUGUGAAUUUAUAAGUAUUUUAUUGCUAAAGCAGUGCACAGAUGAAGUAAGAG